ensembl:lncRNA
AAUUGUCUUUCCAGUUUGUCUAGUUCCUCCAUGGUUGUGAGAGGAAAGACAUCAUCCUCGCUGUCCACCAGCAGCACUGGAGCACUGGAACGACUGUUAGCUGCAAGGGACUGGACCACUGAAGACAGAUGAUUGAUCUUCAUGUCCAGUUCGUUAAGUACCUCCAGAAUUGUCCUCUCAACAGCUGCAACACAUUAGAUGGGUGUUCAUCCCAAGCAUCCUCUUGCUCAUUUUCAUUGGACAAGCUCACUGGAACAGCUGGAGUUAAGAAAGGUGAAGUUGAUGGGUGUUCUUCCCAAGUUUCCAGCUGGCGGUCUGCAUGAGAGAAGCUCUCUCUGAAAUGAGCUUAAUUGACAUUACAAAAGUUACUCAUUCA